UACGAAGGGGGCGAGCGUUGUUCGGAUUUACUGGGCGUAAAGGGCGCGUAGGCGGCCCUCUUUGUCGCGUGUGAAAUCCCCAGGCUUAACCUGGGAACUGCAUUCGAGACUGCAUUGCUAGAGUAUGGGAGAGGGAAGUGGAAUUCCGAGUGUAGAGGUGAAAUUCGUAGAUAUUCGGAGGAACACCAGUGGCGAAGGCGGCUCACUGGUCCAUUACUGACGCUGAGGUGCGAAAGCGUGGGGAGCAAACAGG
rnacentral:rRNA from 1 species